CAGCCCUAUCCCCUUCUCCCUUUUCUUCCUCACUCCAAACGGCGUUGCACGCCGAAACCAAGACAAAGCUCGGCCACCACACGCCGGUGGUGGCCCUCCUACGCUGGUGUUAGUCACACGCACUCACAUCUCGCCAGAUUCGGCCCUAGACCACCCUAAACCGAGACUAAGACCACGACCCUAAACGGCCAAAAGGGUCUCCGAUGCUCUCCUUUCACAACGAAGACACCCCGGCGGCGGGACUCAACCGACCGGGCAAGAUGUGUAUUUGGCAGCAAGGUAUGGGCAGGGAAUGGGAUUGCUCGGUGGAGGAUGGGCAACAGCCCCGGUUUGUGUGCUCGUGGAGCAGCAGGGCAUGGGUGACUGGAUGGGGAGUUGACCUUUGUCUGCUCGUGGGUGGUGCUUGGGCAGCAGGGCAGAUAUACUUCUGUCUCCUGAGUUUCAACCUUCUGUAGAGCAGCUGAUUUGUUUUCAGACAGCAAAUCGCCAAAUUUUGAUGUUUUCAGCCACAUAUCCAGUUACAGUUAUGGACUUUAAAGACAUAUAUCUACAAAAACCUUAUAUUAUUAAUCUAACGGAUGAACUUGCCCUAAAGGGUAUUACACAAUAUUAUGCUUUUGUGGAAGAAAGACAGAAAGUCCACUGCUUAAAUACUCUUUUCCCUAAGCUGCAAAUAAACCAAUCAAUCAUUUUCUGCAACUCGGUAAAUCGAGUGGAGUUGUUGGCCAAGAAAAUUACAGAACUUGGCUAUUAUUGCUUUUAUAUACAUGCAAAGAUGCUACAAGACCAUCGUAACAGGGUAUUUCAUGAUUUCCGCAAUGGAGCAUGCAGGAACCUUGUCUGUACUGAUAUGUUAUGCUGUGGGUUUAUCAUACG